rnacentral:rRNA from 1 species
UACAGAGGUCUCAACCGUUGUUCGGAUUCAUUGGGCGUAAAGCGCGCGUAGGCGGCUUUGCAAGUCGGGUGUGAAAUCCCCAGGCUCAACCUGGGAACUGCAUUCGAGACUGCAUUGCUAGAGUAUGGGAGAGGGAAGUGGAAUUUCCGGUGUAGCGGUGAAAUGCGUAGAUAUCGGAAGGAACAUCAGUGGCGAAAGCGACUUCCUGGACCAAUACUGACGCUCAUGUGCGAAAGCGUGGGGAGCAAACAGG